CUUUCCCCUUGUCUAAUGGGAGCCAAAGAAUGAUGUUUUAAUGCUCAGCUUCUAGAUGAAAUAUGUAUUAGCAAACUAUUCUAGGCCUUUAUAUUCCUUUAUUUUUGUUUUCAAAAAUUCCCAUGACAAUAUUCUGGCAUCCAUGCCACAUGAGGAUACAUUUCGUGCCAAAACAAGCUUAGGAAAUCUGCAGUUUAAAGGAGGAAGGUAUGCUGCAGCUGAGAGCAGACGCUUCUAAGGCAUCUUGGGAAGGUUGCAUCUGCAGUCUCAAGAAAUAUUAAAACCUAUUUUAAUGUAGGCAUUGUUCCUGAGAGUAGCUUCAAUAAGCCACGUGGAUGCAAUUAUCCAGCUCAGGGGUUGUUUCUUAUGGAAUCCAACCUAUGACUGUUGACGCCAGGAGUGGUCCUGGGAAGGAGACUCUGAAAAUUUUGGAGCUGGCUGGGAAUAAGAGUCCUGUUGCUGUUGAUAUCUGAGAGCAACCUUCUGCCAGGAUUUGCCCUGCCCACAGGCGUUAGCAUGGACUUGAUGACUGCGGUGUGGCUUUUACUUUCUCAAUUUUCCAGAGCUCAUACUCCUCAAACUCCAGAGGAAUAAGAUGGGUACUCAGGACUUUGAAUGCAUAGGCUCAGUUCUG
rnacentral:lncRNA from 10 species